rnacentral:rRNA from 1 species
UGGGGAAUAUUGGACAAUGGGCGAAAGCCUGAUCCAGCCAUGCCGCGUGUGUGAAGAAGGCCUUUUGGUUGUAAAGCACUUUAAGCGAGGAGGAGGCUACUAGUACUAAUACUACUGGAUAGUGGACGUUACUCACAGAAUAAGCACCGGCUAACUCUGUGCCAGCAGCCGCGGUAAUACAGAGGGUGCAAGCGUUAAUCGGAAUUACUGGGCGUAAAGCGCGCGUAGGUGGUUCGUUAAGUUGAAUGUGAAAGCCCCGGGCUCAACCUGGGAACUGCAUCCAAAACUGGCGAGCUAGAGUAGGGCAGAGGGUGGUGGAAUUUCCUGUGUAGCGGUGAAAUGCGUAGAUAUAGGAAGGAACACCAGUGGCGAAGGCGACCACCUGGGCUCAUACUGACACUGAGGUGCGAAAGCGUGGGGAGCAAACAGG